GACGAACGCUGGCGGCGUGCUUAACACAUGCAAGUCGAACGGAAAGUCCCUGCUUUUGUGGGGUGCUCGAGUGGCGAACGGGUGAGUAACACGUGAGUAACCUGCCCUUGACUUUGGGAUAACUUCAUGAAACUGGGGCUAAUACCGGAUAGGAGCUCCUGCUGCAUGGUGGGGGUUGGAAAGUUUCGGCGGUUGGGGAUGGACUCGCGGCUUAUCAGCUUGUUGGUGGGGUAGUGGCUUACCAAGGCUUUGACGGGUAGCCGGCCUGAGAGGGUGACCGGCCACAUUGGGACUGAGAUACGGCCCAGACUCCUACGGGAGGCAGAAGUGGGGAAUAUUGCACGAUGGGAGGAAGCCUGAUGCAGCAACGCCGCGUGCGGGAUGACGGCCUUCGGGUUGUAAACCGCUUUCGCCUGUGACGAAGCGUGAGUGACGGUAAUGGGUAAAGAAGCACCGGCUAACUACGUG
rnacentral:rRNA from 1 species